GAUGAAGAACGUAGCGAAAUGCGAUAAGUAAUGUGAAUUGCAGAAUUCAGUGAAUCAUCGAAUCUUUGAACGCACAUUGCGCCCCUUGGUAUUCCGGGGGGCAUGCCUGUUCGAGCGUCAUUAUAACCCUCAAGCCUAGCUUGGUGUUGGAGCAUGCUACCUAAGCAGCUCUUAAAAUCAGUGGCAGUGCCCUUCGGCUCUAAGCGUAGUACCUUCUCUCGCUAUGGAACCCGGAGGGUACGCGCCAGAACCCCCAACUUUCUAUGGUUGACCUCGGAUCAGGUAGGGAUACCCGCUGAACUUAAGCAUAUCAAUAAGCGGAGGA
rnacentral:misc_RNA from 1 species